UCACCGGGAGCGCCCACGGCUGCAGUUUC
rnacentral:piRNA from 1 species